ACAUCUUGUGUUUGCUUCCCUAUCUCUAUCCAUUUACAUACUUAUCCACACUAGUGACCGGAGCAAUCUAAAAAAGGUCACAAACUUGACACUUUCUGUUGUACCAAAGUCCUCACUGAUUUUGUGCAUCAACAAUGACAAUUGUAGUAAAAAUGUAAGUAAGGAUCGUUCUAAACCGGGGAUUAACUAGGGAUGCUAAUAAACAUGAAUAAGAUUUUAAAACACUAAACUAGACUCUAUAAACUCAAAACAUUCAAAACAACAACAAAAAAUAAAAAAGACUCAAUUCUAGACCUAACAAGUGAUUUGGACGAAAAUAAAAUUGAACUUGACUUAAAAGACUAAAAGAAAACAUAUUAUGACUCAACUAACAAGACAUAAUGAAAGGGGGAUUGUUUUUGACGAAUUUUAAACUUAAAAUAGAAACUUUGCAUAAAACACUUUAAUAAAACAAAUUUGAUGAAUUGACAAGGGUAAAAGGCUAGUUAGAGGGUCCUUCUCCACACAUGACAUAUGCAAACAAACCAAUUUCCAGUAUUGUUCCUUUAAAUCAUGAAUGACACACCCUAAGUUAACCGUGACAGCACAAAUUAACCAUCAGAUUUUCCUUAUUUCAUUGAAUUGGACGGGAUACGCAUCACAACCAAAUUAUCCUUCUCAAGUCCCCUAACUAUGAAAAGCAUGAUAGUAAACAUACCAAAGGUCAAUAAGUUCUUUGAAAACCAUAAGCAUUGAUGAGGCAUUCGUAACUAUGAAAAACAUGAUACUCCUGCCAAGGAUUUACUUAACGCGAUUGUGACUAGCAACCUCCACUACUUGUGAAUAUAAGUUCAUAACGAUUAGGUGAAACUCCCUUAUACUCUAGCAUCAAGUUUAUGCAUGCAAACUAAGUAUGCAUCCUCAAUCAACACACAUAAACAAGUUUUAAUAACUCAGAUAAGCAAAUCACAUUCAAGACUCAAGAAACAAUAAUUGGAUGUAAUCAAUUCAUAUAAAGCAUAUAAUCAUGGCUUCGAAUUCACCUCUAACUAAAAAGAAAUUAGUUCCUCAUGUCUUUGAAAACAUAAAACCAAAUGAAAACAAACAUUGAACUAGAACUAAGGAUAGAAAGAACCAGGAACGUUCCAGCAAUGGCAGAUUUGACUCCAAGGGUCUCCUCUCCUUCCUUUAUUGCAAAUUUGAGCACAAGUAUGUAUUUUCUGAUGUUUUGGCUCUUGUAUGGCACGAAUUUGUGGGGAAUGGUGUAGAAAAAUAUGGUAGAGGGUGGUGGUUUGAAUUGUGGCAGAAAAUAUGUAUUUAUAGGCUAGGGUUUUGGGCAAAGUAGUGGAGGAGAAGGAUUACACAAUCCUAGAGGAAUAGGACUAGGACAUUCAGCACAAAGCUUCUAGAAAGGGAUUAAAUUCGUUAGAUUUCUAGAGGAAAAAGGAUCAAGUUAUUUGCAUUGUUUCAGGGCUUCUAGAAUCAGAUAUUAGGUAUUCUAAUGUGAUAAGGAGUCCCCAUUGCAGCUAGAAUUAAGGUAGGAUAGGAUUAUGAUAGGAUAAGAUAAGAUAAGGUUAGUUUGGAUGAGAUAAGGUUGGAUAAGGUUUUGGAUAAGAUAAGGUAGUUUAGAUAGUAUCUCCUUCUUUUGAGCUAAUUCCUUAUCUUCAAUGUCUUGAAUUAAUUUCCUCAACUUUGUAGAACAUUCCUAGCCUCUCUUGAACUUCAAAUUCUUCCAUUCCUUGUGCUCCAUAUGUAAGCUAUCCAUUCCAACCCAAAACUGCUCUAAAAUGCUCUAAAAUGCACUUUCUUGCCAACUUUGUCAUUUGGACCUACAAACACACGAAAAUAGCUAAAACACUAUAAUAAGUAGAAACUAGCCAUGAAAAUGCAAGAAAACAAGCUAACUAAGUCGCAUAAAUAUGCUCCUAUCAAGUUAGCCUUCAAGAAAGGUAUCAAUCUCUUCCUCUCGUUGAAAACUUAGAUUUUCGUUUUUGAAUCACUUGAUUUCGUGGAGUAUUGACAAAGUUAUGGACGUUGAAAGGUUGCUUAAAAAUUCAGGCGAGUUACCAGUUUUCCACGGACAGCCGUCUUUCAGACCAUUUUCUGGACACCUCCGACCACCAUUUGGACUCCAAGCUGGUAUAAUUUGUUCUACAUUUCUCUAACUUUGAUUUGGUAUAUUAUGGGUUGAAUUUGGUUGAGAAACAAGUGAGAUAUGGAGUUCUAAAGAUUGCCCGGAAAUCUGCGAAAUCUGCAAAAUCCGGCGAACUUCCAUUAAGGUCCACCACUUGAUUAGAAUAGUAAUCGACAAUCCGACUGUUGGAUCGUUACCAAACUUUGUUACAUUGUAGUAUGUAAUAUUUGAAGAAUGUAGGAAUUUAUGGAUUGGGAAUCCGACGUACGGAUCUUCCCGAAUUGGAUUUGUAAGUCCAUAAAAUUGAAUGUUAACCGCCACUUGGUUUUGAAAAUUGGCGGAGAUCCAACCAUUGGGUCAUAAUGAAAUUUUAAUAUGUUAUUCUAGAAGCAUAAUGUGGAUCUUUGGAAGUUGCGGAUUGGAAAUCUGAUAUGCGAAUCUUCCGGAUCGAGUUAUACAAUGUUGUAGACCCUACCAUCGAUCUAUGAUUAAUGGUUGACAGAUAGUCAAUGAGUCUCAAACUAUUUUAGAAUGUCCUUGAGGAUUUAUUUUAUGUGAAUUACGUAUUAUAUUGAUAAGAGUUCUGAGAUGUGAUUCAAUAAUUGUUCUAAGCGCCAAUCAUUCGAGACGCCUCGAUGCACGUGCUAGAGAAUCAUAACGUGGACUCCAGGUGAGUGGGUCUUUUCCUUUUAUUAUAGGCAUAUAAUUGAUAGUUCCACAAAUGCUUCUAAAGUGAUUUAUGCAUGUUACCUACAAUUAAUUAUUGUGAACUACGAAUGGCUUGAUCCUUGUUUAGGGUACGUAGGCAGUCUAACGAGAUGUUAGAUGCAGCCAUACAAUAAGUGAGAUUAAAUAAUCGAGACAAAAGCUUUGUUUGGGAAAAUGAGCAAUG
rnacentral:lncRNA from 1 species